rnacentral:rRNA from 1 species
AACGUAGGUGGCAAGCGUUAUCCGGAAUUACUGGGCGUAAAGGGCGCGUAGGCGGGAUGGCAAGUCGGUCGUGAAAUCCCUCGGCUCAACCGAGGAACGUCGAUCGAUACUGCUGUUCUUGAGGAUUGCAGAGGAGACUGGAAUUCCCGGUGUAGCGGUGAAAUGUGUAGAGAUCGGGAGGAACACCGGUGGCGAAGGCGGCAUCCUGGACCGACAUUGACGCUGAACGGCGAAAGCUAGGGGAGCAAACGGG